rnacentral:rRNA from 1 species
CCUACGGGGGGCAGCAGUCGAGAAUCAUUCACAAUGGGGGAAACCCUGAUGGUGCGACGCCGCGUGGGGGAAUGAAGGUCUUCGGAUUGUAAACCCCUGUCAUGUGGGAGCAAAUUAAAAAGAUAGUACCACAAGAGGAAGAGACGGCUAAAUCUGUGCCAGCAGCCGCGGUAAUACAGAGGUCUCAAGCGUUGUUCGGAAUCACUGGGCGUAAAGCGUGCGUAGGCUGUUUCGUAAGUCGUGUGUGAAAGGUGCGGGCUCAACCCGCGGACGGCACAUGAUACUGCGAGACUAGAGUAAUGGAGGGGGGACCGGAAUUCUCGGUAUAGCAGUGAAAUGCGUAGAUAUCGAGAGGAACACUCGUGGCGAAGGCGGGUUCCUGGACAUUAACUGACGCUGAGGCACGAAGGCCAGGGGAGCGAAAGGGAUUAGAUACCCCUGUUGUC